rnacentral:tRNA from 1 species
GUCGCUGUGGCGCAAUUGGUUAGCGCGUUCGGCUGUUAACCGAAAGGUUGCUGGUUCAAGCCCAGCCAGGGACG